UGGGGAAUCUUCCGCAAUGGACGAAAGUCUGACGGAGCAACGCCGCGUGAGUGAUGACGGCCCUCGGGUUGUAAAGCUCUGUUAAUCGGGACGAAAGGCCUUCUUGCGAAUAGUGAGAAGGAUUGACGGUACCGGAAUAGAAAGCCACGGCUAACUACGUGCCAGCAGCCGCGGUAAUACGUAGGUGGCAAGCGUUGUCCGGAAUUAUUGGGCGUAAAGCGCGCGCAGGCGGAUAGGUCAGUCUGUCUUAAAAGUUCGGGGCUUAACCCCGUGAUGGGGUGGAAACCGCCAUCUANAGAUCCGAAAAAAAAGAAAACUAUGUAUCUUGAUGGGGGAAAUGGUAAUUNNUANNANNAAAGAAAAACCCCCGGGGCNNNGGGCGACUUUUUUGGGACGAAAACUGACGCUAAGGCCGCNNNCGGCGGGGNNNNNNNUNNNNNNAUACCCCGGUAGUCCUGGCCGUAAACGAUGGGUACUAGGUGUAGGAGGUAUCGACCCCUUCUGUGCCGGAGUUAACGCAAUAAGUACCCCGCCUGGGGAGUACGACCGCAAGGUUG
rnacentral:rRNA from 1 species